rnacentral:rRNA from 1 species
CGCGGGUGAGUAACACGUAUCCAACCUGCCGUCUACUCUUGGCCAGCCUUCUGAAAGGAAGAUUAAUCCAGGAUGGCAUCAUGAGUUCACAUGUCCGCAUGAUUAAAGGUAUUUUCCGGUAGACGAUGGAGAUGCGUUCCAUUAGAUAGUAGGCGGGGUAACGGCCCACCUAGUCAACGAUGGAUAGGGGUUCUGAGAGGAAGGUCCCCCACAUUGGAACUGAGACACGGUCCAA